GUCCCUACUGGAUUGGCGAAAUCGAUGGUCCGAUGGCCAAAAAGUCAGCCUCCCGAUACAGACAGUCCCAUUCUCUUUACAGCAACAGGAAGUCACUCUCUCAGCAGCUGGACAGUUCAACAGGAAGAGCUCCUCUCCUUUCCAGAACUUCACGGUCCUUAAGUACAGUCCAGUUAAUACACACCGCAUGCGGAUUGCAGGCCUCCUUCAUUACCAAUAUCGUUUUAAUGAAAGGCCAGGGGAAGGGCCUUGGCUUCAGCAUUGUGGGAGGUCAAGACAGCAUUUAUGGCCCCAUUGGGAUAUAUGUGAAGACAAUCUUUCCUCAGGGGGCCGCUGCUGCCGAUGGAAGGCUGCA